rnacentral:rRNA from 1 species
GAUGAACGCUAGCGGCAGGCCUAAUACAUGCAAGUCGAGGGGUAACAGGGGUAGUAAUAUCUGCUGACGACCGGCGCACGGGUGCGUAACACGUAUACAAUCUGCCUUUAACAGGGGGAUAGCCCGGAGAAAUCCGGAUUAAUACCCCAUAACAAUGGAAGAAGCAUUUCUUCUAUUUAAAAGCUCAGGCGGUUAGAGAUGAGUAUGCGUCUGAUUAGCUAGUUGGUAAGGAACGGCUUACCAAGGCAACGAUCAGUAGGGGAUCUGAGAGGAUUAACCCCCACCAC